AGAGUUUGAUCCUGGCUCAGAUUGAACGCUGGCGGCAUGCUUUACACAUGCAAGUCGAGCGGCAGCGCGGGGGCAACCCUGGCGGCGAGCGGCGAACGGGUGAGUAACAGAUAGGAACGUGUCCGGGAGUGGGGGAUAACUAGCCGAAAGGUUAGCUAAUACCGCAUAUUCUCUACGGAGGAAAGCGGGGGAUCGGUAACGACCUCGCGCUCGCGGAGUGGCCUAUCUCCGAUUAGCUAGUUGGUGAGGUAAAGGCUUACCAAGGCGACGAUCGGUAGCUGGUCUGAGAGGAUGAUCAGCCACACUGGGACUGAGACACGGCCCAGACUCCUACGGGAGGCAGCAGUGGGGAAUUUUGGACAAUGGGGGCAACCCUGAUCCAGCCAUGCCGCGUGCAGGAAGAAGGCCUUCGGGUUGUAAACCGCUUUUAUUCGGAAAGAAGGAGUCGGGGUUAAUACCUCCGAUGACAGACGGUACCGGAUGAAUAAGCACCGGCUAACUACGUGCCAGCAGCCGCGGUAAUACGUAGGGUGCGAGCGUUAAUCGGAAUUACUGGGCGUAAAGCGUGCGCAGGCGGUUCGUUAAGUCAGCUGUGAAAGCCCCGGGCUCAACUUGGGAAUUGCGGUUGAAACUGGCGGACUAGAAUCUGGCAGAGGGGGGUGGAAUUCCACGUGUAGCAGUGAAAUGCGUAGAGAUGUGGAGGAACACCGAUGGCGAAGGCAGCCCCCUGGGCUGAGAUUGACGCUCAGGCACGAAAGCGUGGGGAGCAAACAGGAUUAGAUACCCUAGUAGUCC
rnacentral:rRNA from 1 species